AUUGAACGCUGGCGGCAUGCCUUACACAUGCAAGUCGAACGGCAGCACGGGUGCUUGCACCUGGUGGCGAGUGGCGAACGGGUGAGUAAUACAUCGGAACGUACCUUAUCGUGGGGGAUAACGCAGCGAAAGCUGUGCUAAUACCGCAUACGCCCUGAGGGGGAAAGCGGGGGAUCGCAAGACCUCGCGCGAUUAGAGCGGCCGAUGCCUGAUUAGCUUGUUGGUGGGGUAAAAGCCCACCAAGGCGACGAUCAGGAGCUGGUCUGAGAGGACGAUCAGCCACACUGGGACUGAGACACGGCCCAGACUCCUCCGGGAGGCAGCAGUGGGGAAUUUUGGACAAUGGGGGCAACCCUGAUCCAGCAAUGCCGCGUGAGUGAAGAAGGCCUUCGGGUUGUAAAGCUCUUUUGUCAGGGAAGAAACACCGGCUCUAACACAGUCCGGGAAUGACGGUACCUGAAGAAUAAGCACCGGCUAACUACGUGCCAGCAGCCGCAGUAA
rnacentral:rRNA from 1 species